GUGGCCAUGGAAGUCGGAAUCCGCUAAGGAGUGUGUAACAACUCACCUGCCGAAGCAACUAGCCCUUAAAAUGGUAUGGCGCUGAAGCAUUCUCCCGAUACUCGACCGCCGGGGCACUAGCGGCCACGUCCCAGAGGCGAGGUCUCGAAGCCCCGGUGAGUAAGAGGGUCGCAGUGGUGAGCGCUGAAGGGAUCCGGCGUGAGCCGGCCUGGAGCCUCCACUGGUGCAGAUCUUGGUGGUAGUAGCAAAUACUCGAGAGAGACUCCCUUGAAGACCGAAGUGGAGAAGGGUUCCAUGUGAACAUCAGUUGGACAUGGGUUAGUCGCUCCUAAGCUCAAGGCUAAGGCCUGAUCCCAUGGUAACGGC
rnacentral:rRNA from 1 species